AGAGUUUGAUCCUGGCUCAGAGUGAACGCUGGCGGCAGGCCUAACACAUGCAAGUCGAACGGCAGCACAGUAAGAGCUUGCUCUUAUGGGUGGCGAGUGGCGGACGUUGUGAGGAAUACAUCGGAAUCUACUCUUUCGUGGGGGAUAACGUAGGGAAACUUACGCUAAUACCGCAUACGACCUACGGGUGAAAGCGGAGGACCUUCGGGCUUCGCGCGGUUGAAUGAGCCGAUGUCGGAUUAGCUAGUUGGCGGGGUAAAGGCCCACCAAGGCGACGAUCCGUAGCUGGUCUGAGAGGAUGAUCAGCCACACUGGAACUGAGACACGGUCCAGACUCCUACGGGAGGCAGCAGUGGGGAAUAUUGGACAAUGGGCGCAAGCCUGAUCCAGCCAUGCCGCGUGGGUGAAGAAGGCCUUCGGGUUGUAAAGCCCUUUUGUUGGGAAAGAAAAGCAGUCGGUUAAUACCCGAUUGUUCUGACGGUACCCAAAGAAUAAGCACCGGCUAACUUCGUGCCAGCAGCCGCGGUAAUACGAAGGGUGCAAGCGUUACUCGGGAAUUACUGGGCGUAAAGCGUGCGUAGGUGGUGGUUUAAGUCUGUUGUGAAAGCCCCUGGGCUCAACCUGGGAAUUGCAGUGGAUACUGGAUCACUAGAGUGUGGUAGAGGGUAGCGGAAUUCCCGGUGUAGCAAGUGAAAUGCGUAGAGAUCGGGAGGAACAUCCGUGGCGAAGGCGGCUACCUGGACCAACACUGACACUGAGGCACGAAAGCGUGGGGAGCAAACAGGAUUAGAUACCCCUGGUAGUCCACGCCCUAAACGAUGCGAACUGGAUGUUGGGUUGCAAUUUGGCACGCAGUAUCGAAGCUAACGCGUUAAGUUCGCCGCCUGGGGAGUACAGGUCGCAAGACUGAAACUCAAAGGAAUUGACGGGGGCCCGCACA
rnacentral:rRNA from 1 species